AUAGAGACUCAGAGUCUCAUCUCGACACAAAUCGUUGUCUUGGUGUGCUAGAGUUCUCUUAGAUUGAAGACUGGUCCUAUUCACCGAGCGGCUCUCUCGUAGGCCGGUCAUCCACAUGGGCAGUUACAGUU
ensembl:snoRNA